AUACUAAUACCAAACCUACGUUAAAGUAAAUACAAAACAAUACAUUUGUUUUGUUUAAAUUCAGUUUAGAUAUUUUUAUUUGGAAUUUUAUAAAGUGAAAUGCUUUGUAAUUACACUUUUUUAAUUAUUUAUGCAUAAACAAAACUUAGAAUUACGUACUGUACAAUAAAGAAAACUAAAUUAAAAUUAGAAAGUAGUUUUUUAAAAAUACAGCAUAAAUAAGAUAGCAACUUACAUAUACAUCCCUGAAUGCAUUGUGAAAAUAACUGAUCCAAGACGAUAGACAAGUCAAGCUAGAAAUAUACUCCAAAAAAUCAAUAAAAAUAGUUAAAUGUAGUUAAAAAAUUGCUAAGUUAUGCACUAUUUGUGUAAUUUGAUACGCAUUUUUCUUUGUUGUUAGCAUCAAACUCUACUAAAAUCAAGUGUAACUCAAGACUCAAAUUAAGCUAAAAAUAAAUAAAUAAAUAAAUAAACCAGCCUAAGGGGGUAAUCAGGUCUUAGCUGGUUUAAACUAGUUUAACUGUUUUCCCAGCAAGCAGAUGUUUAGCUAAUGUUUCCCAAAUGCCCAAACCCCUUCUAAAACCAUCCAAAAAGUCCAGCUUGGCCAGGCUGGGAGACCAGCCAAGCACUUUAGGCUGGUUUCAGCAGGGGUGCGCUUUGCAUCAAACUGGGCAGUUGAGUUGCUUUCUUUGUAAACCGUUCCAAAUCGCUCACUUAUGAGGGUCUGUUUUAGUUUGGAUGCCACCUUAGAAGGCAGCUCACUAGGUUUUGCAGCCGAUCUUGUCUGUGUGCACAGGUGGACAUAAAUAUGAAACCGUUUUCUAUAAACAGUCAAAAAGCACACAAGUUUUCUGUAUCUUCCCAAUAUAUUAUUUUUUUUAAUGCAUUGACUUUUUUGCACUAAACCGAUAGAUAUGUUCAGACUUACAGCGGCCCUGUCUAAAAUAAUCCUGUCAUGUCACAUUUAAGGCCCUGGACUGGUAGCAGCGUCGUCUUUUGUGUGAAGCAUUAGUGGGAUCCUGAAUAGCACUAUUUUUCAAGCCGAUCAUUUUAGACGAGCGUUUUAAUGGAACGUGGGCAACUCUCUUCUGUAGCUUACGUCUCCCCUUUUUUGUCUCGUGAAAACAUCACGGUUACAUAUCAGAAAGCCAUAAGCAGAAUAUCAUCAAUUAUGUUUGUGUGUUCGCAGGCACUUACAAUGCAAGAAUGACACAUGGCUGUAGCACGCAGUCCAAAAACCUCCUCCGGUUCUCAACUGACCCAAACCAGAGAAAAUAGUGGAACGAGAGAGCGAAAGCAAUAACGGCAAGUCAGAAAGAAGGAAAUGCCAAGUCCUGAAACAGAAUACUGAAUAAAAGAUGCAGGGAAAGGAAAUGUAAAGAAAGUGAAAAUCAAUAAAAUAUAAAUCAAAAUGAGAAUGAGGGAGAAGGAGAGAGAGAGACAGAAGUGUGAUACUGUGGACCAACUUUGGAUUGGAAAGGCGUAUUGGCCUGAAGGGAACAGGAUUGAGAUGUUUGGCGUGAGCUGAUUUCAGAGCUUGCACUGUCAUUUUGAAUGCCAUUGGGCGGAUAGUUUUUUGUAAAAGCUGUAAUUUUGACGGCAAUUGUUGUACAGUGUAUAUACGCAAGUUGUUCAAAUGCAGAUUUUGUAGAUAUUGAACUGCAAUCGUGGCAGGGUUUGUGCAUCCAGCGGACGAAAAGGACAAACACGCAAACCCACGUACUUUCGCUGCCAUUUGUAACAGAUUUAUGCAUCUUUUAUUUUUUUUUGAUUUUCACCACUUUUUACUUUUUUCAGAACAUCAGUUUCUCCGCCCCUUUUUUAAAUUGUAUUUUUAUUUCCGUUUCGCCGUGUUUAUAUUAUAGAAAAGGGAAUUCCUCUGCUCCUGUUGGAUUUGCGCAGGGGGUUUAUUUUUAUUCAGUUGUUUGUUUUGUUUUAAUUUCGUCUUUGAUUCAUAUUGUUUUGUUGACUGUAAAACAGUAUUAAAACAUGCUUGUUAUACGUGUAAAAAUGCUUUUCUUCACUCCUGGAUUUUUGUUUAGUUUGUUUUGUUUGGUGUUUUUUUAAAAUCAAUGCUAAAAUUAAAAAAGAAUAUUGAUC
ensembl:lncRNA